AGUCCCGUAACUCCAUGUCUAUAUCAAAGGGUUUAUAGUUACCCUUUUGGAUUUGUUGACUGCAACAUACUUUGCCUGAUUCCAUUUCUUGUGUGCAGCCCUCCCUGACAGAUAGCACACGGUUCUGACGCCUCUGGCAUUCAUAGGUCCCAGUGCAACUCAGGCUUUACUUUCACAGCUUCAUGCAGUGGCCUCUUGGGGCUUCUUGCCCUCUCAGGGCCUUCAUGCAGAAACUGCCUCACAACCCAUUCUGUGAUAUUAGUGACUCCUUAACUAUGGAGAAAGAUUCCACAGCCAUGUAUCCUCCCAUGUAUCCUUCAUGACUCUAAGCCAGAUGACAUUGCUGAGUUCUGCAUGCCUCACAUGGAGCCUGACCUUGAGUCACUCCCAGUGGUGUUCAUGUGUUGUUGCCUUUAGAAGCAGAGAAUUCCUUAGGCCUUUUCCUUUCAUAAGUUGGAAUCCUAACUGGGCGGAGCUUUAUCCUGUUCAUCCCUCUUUAUCUGGCUUCUCCUUAAUCUCUAUCUCUUUGAGCACAUUAACUUCCCUGUGGGCUUUUCUUGGAGAUUUUUUAUUGUAGUCCUGUAUAAAAAUGCUGCAGAGCCAGAAUUAAGCUUUCCUGCAAUUUCCUCUAUCAAAGAAAUUAGUCUCAUUACUUUUCACUUCGGGCUUAGGCAGAUUCUUGGGACAAGGGUAGAAGGCAGCUACAUUCUUUGCCAAAAGAAAACAAGAGUAAGUCUUUAGCCAGUUACUAAUGUUUUACCCCUAAGCCUCUUGCUCUAGCCCUCCACAGAUCAUACUCUCAGCAAGGCUGUCUCCUAGGCUUCUACUGGACCCAUUAAGCUCUGCUUACAGCCUUGAACCCUUUAUUUUCUUAGUUCAAAGUCCCAGAGUUUUCUACAUUCCUCCAAAAAAAAAAAAAAAACCAUAUGGUUAGGUCUUUCACAGCUAAGAUCCGCUUCCUGGUACCAGCUUCUGUGUCUUGGCUACUCUUCAAUUGCUAUGACAAAGCACCUGACUAAGGCAGAGAAUAUAGGAAAGCAUUUAUAGGGUUUAUAGUUUAAGAGGGUUUUAGUUCAUGAUAGAAGAACAGUUGAGAACUUUUAUCUUGAUCUGCAAGUAGGAUGCAAAAAGAAAACUCCGGGAAGGGCAUGUUCUUCUGAAACUUCAAAGCCUUCACCUUGUGACACACCUCCCCAACAAAGCCUUAUCUCCUAGUCCUUUCCAAAUAGUUCCUCCAACUGGGGACCAAAUAUUCCAACAUGAGCGCUGGGGAGCAUUCUCCUUCAAACCACUAGUUUCCCAAGGAGCUCUUUCCUAACCACAUCUUGUGCUUCCCCCAGUUGAUGAUUUCACUAGUUAACUUAGGUAGUUUUGCCUUUCUCAGUGGUCACAUCUUCUGCUCAUAUUGAAGAUCCUGCAGCUCCAGUUGGGCUUGAUGUGCAUUUUCUUUGAGGAACUGAUAACAGACAUGUUUAUCUGCAUCUCCAUGAUAGUGAGAAAAAGUAGCUUCGAGGUAAUCAUAGCUGUUAUCAGUCUCAGUCCCUAGUUGAGAAUAGGCUGUGAUCUACCUAGCCCUGGACUCUAGUUAUUUCCUAGACAUGGACCUCCUGGGUGGAAUUGGG
rnacentral:lncRNA from 1 species